AACAGGAUUAGAUACCCUGGUAGUCCACGCUGUAAACGAUGUCGACUUGGAGGUUGUGCCCUUGAGGCGUGGCUUCCGGAGCUAACGCGUUAAGUCGACCGCCUGGGGAGUACGGCCGCAAGGUUAAAACUCAAAUGAAUUGACGGGGGCCCGCACAAGCGGUGGAGCAUGUGGUUUAAUUCGAUGCAACGCGAAGAACCUUACCUACUCUUGACAUCCAGAGAAUUUAGCAGAGAUGCUUUAGUGCCUUCGGGAACUCUGAGACAGGUGCUGCAUGGCUGUCGUCAGCUCGUGUUGUGAAAUGUUGGGUUAAGUCCCGCAACGAGCGCAACCCUUAUCCUUUGUUGCCAGCGCGUAAUGGCGGGAACUCAAAGGAGACUGCCGGUGAUAAACCGGAGGAAGGUGGGGAUGACGUCAAGUCAUCAUGGCCCUUACGAGUAGGGCUACACACGUGCUACAAUGGCAUAUACAAAGAGAAGCGAACUCGCGAGAGCAAGCGGACCUCAUAAAGUAUGUCGUAGUCCGGAUUGGAGUCUGCAACUCGACUCCAUGAAGUCGGAAUCGCUAGUAAUCGUAGAUCAGAAUGCUACGGUGAAUACGUUCCCGGGCCUUGUACACACCGCCCGUCACACCAUGGGAGUGGGUUGCAAAAGAAGUAGGUAGCUUAACCUUCGGGAGGGCGCUUACCACUUUGUGAUUCAUGACUGGCGUGAAGUCGUAACAAGGUAACC
rnacentral:rRNA from 1 species